rnacentral:rRNA from 1 species
CACGUAGGGACCAAGCGUUGUCCGGAUUCAUUGGGCGUAAAGAGCUCGUAGGCGGCUCAGUAAGUCGGGUGUGAAACCUCCAGGCUCAACCUGGAGACGCCACCCGAUACUGCUGUGGCUAGAGUCCAGUAGGGGAGCGUGGAAUUCCUGGUGUAGCGGUGAAAUGCUUAGAUAUCGUCAAGAACACCUAUAGCGAAGGCAGCUUACUAGGCUGUAACUGACGCUGAGGCACGAAAGUGUGGGGAUCAAACAGG